CCUGAGAAGGAGCCAUGGGAUUAACAAGGAAGGGAUUGGCAAUGGGCGUCCUGGGGAGGCAGGCAAAGUUGCCUCCCCAGCAGCCAUCACUCCCCACCUCCUGUGGGAGCUCCGCCUCUCUGACUGUGAAACCCAUAGACUCCCCUGAUGAGGGCAGGGGCAUGGCACCCAAGGUUGGCCAAUGGGACGCCCAGGGGGAGUCUCCAGGGAGACUUCCAAGCAAGGUUUUCCUCCCUGAGAUAACGACUUUAUAGUCCACUUACUCCUUCCUUCGGGCACUGUGAGACCAUGUGGUCCUUGGAGCUGCAGCAGCCAUCGGACUAUGUGAGGAAAACGGCCACGG